rnacentral:lncRNA from 1 species
UAUUAAAGAGUUACAUAAGAAUUUAUACAGGGAAUCUGAAAGGGGGAGACCUGCUUCAAGCACACAAUCUCUCUCACCUGUCAGUGGAAGAGCAGACUUUUUUUAGGGUCCGUUUGAAGGAUUGCGUAUGGGUGUUCAUAACACGCAGCGGAAGACAAUUACAAUCCUUAGUAGAUUUUCUCAUGUUUAAAAUUUAUUUACGUGUCAAAGAUCGGAUUAAAGACGUACCUGGUGAAGAGAGUCUCGUUUCAAAAUUCUUCGACAGUGCGAAGACUCUAUGCGUAUCCACACCGAGACCGAUCCUUGCUAUCAACUCUUUGAUCAAUGAAACCCGUGAACAAAUUGAACGAAUUAUAUUGUGUUGAAAUUUUUCUCAAAAAUCUCAACUCAAAUUAGAAGAACAAGAAACACUUGUCUUGCAAUUUAUUUUUCUCUCUUGGCUUUGUAUUGCACUCUCACUUUCACAAAGUUGGUUUUUCUUCCCAAGAAUAAUAAUAAAAACGAAAAAGAGCCAUACAAAUUUUCUCCGUCACCCUUUAUAUAGUAUCACCUACAAAUCCUUUUCUUAUUUGGUUAAGGUAAUAAUUUUCCUAGGGUGAAAGUUUAUUCCAAAAAUAAACUUAUGGAAAAUUUGUAUGGAAAAUUCAAUUUUCCUUCUUUGUUUUAACGUGAGAGAAUCUGACAAUUUUCCUUCUUUGAAUCCAAUUCUCAAUUGGAUUCAAAGUCACUUUUUCCUUUUUUUUAUUUUUAUUAAUAUAAUAUUUUCCAAUUGAAAAUAUUAAUCCCAUUCCAAAUAGAAUAAAACUUCAAU